GACGGAGGGGGCUAGCGUUGUUCGGAAUUACUGGGCGUAAAGAGCGCGUAGGCGGUUUAGUAAGUUGGAAGUGAAAGCCCGGGGCUUAACCCCGGAACUGCUUUCAAAACUACUAUGACUAGAGUACGGUAGGGGGUGAUGGAAUUCCUGGUGUAGAGGUGAAAUUCUUAGAUAUCAGGAGGAACACCGGUGGCGAAGGCGGUCACCUGGGCCGGUACUGACGCUGAGGCGCGAAAGCGUGGGGAGCAAACAGG
rnacentral:rRNA from 1 species